UACGGAGGGUGCAAGCGUUAUCCGGAUUCACUGGGUUUAAAGGGUGCGUAGGUGGGCCGGUAAGUCAGUGGUGAAAUCUCCGGGCUUAACCCGGAAACUGCCAUUGAUACUAUCUGUCUUGAAUACCGUGGAGGUGAGCGGAAUAUGUCAUGUAGCGGUGAAAUGCUUAGAUAUGACAUAGAACACCAAUUGCGAAGGCAGCUCACUACACGAAUAUUGACACUGAGGCACGAAAGCGUGGGGAGCAAACAGG
rnacentral:rRNA from 1 species